CCCUAGUUUGUGGGCGGUUUGUUAGGUCGAUCGACAGCUGUUCGCAAGAACUAUACAUUUCAGUAGAAAUCUUUUUUCAGCACUAAAACUGUAGGAGCUAUAGUUUUGGGCGGCUUUUUCCGGGAUCACAGCGUUCACACGGGCAGAUCGACUUGGCUAGUGAUGCUGAUCAAGAAUAUGUAUGUUUAAUGGGGUCGGAGACGCUUACGUCUACCUGUUACAUACUUUUCCCCGAAUACAAUAUACCCUUUUACUUUACGAGUAACGGGUUAAGUAUAAGAAAGUUUGUAUUAAGCCUGUGUGACAUACAUAAUCUGCUUGUUGGUGGAACGUUGAUAAACUUGUUCGUUGAAAUGCGAAAUUGUAUGGAAAUUUCCAUACAAGUACAUGAAUGCAUUAUGUAGCGUCAGCUUCAUCCAAAAGUAAAACUCAGUAAAGUUUACAUACUUAGCUAUGUAUUUGUACAGAAUUUAUUCAUACAUAGUUAAUAGUAAUUUUGUACGUUUAACAAAGUUGUUAGUUAUUAUUACUAAAGAUAUUUCCAAACAAUAUUGCACCACUAUUAUCGUCAUACUCAUUAAUUCAAAUUCAUCAUUAGCGUUUGGCGGAACAAACCCACUGUUAAAUGCAGCUUCCAGUUGCUCCUCCAAACCCAUACUUGUGGCGAUUCCGUAAAUUAGGCGCAUUAAUAAAAGUCUAAUAAAGUUUGGUGUGUUUGUAUCUUUGCCUUUGUUAAUAGACAGUUUCUUAGGAUCUUCAAAAACAAGUUGGCUUUCUUUAUUAUUAGAAAUUGUGCUAAGCGGCAUUUCUUUAAUUAUAUUUUGACUUAAAGUUGGAAUACACGAAAUUAUAACUGUGACUACAGCAACCCAAAUAUGUAUGAGAUUCAUGUUACUAUGGUUAUUGUAACGUGCAGUAUACAUAUAUACAUACAUAUGUACUUUAAAAAUAACUGUGGAUGUAAUGACCCGAGCUUGUAAGUCGCAUUUACAUAUUAGGUUUCUCAACUUUGAAUAACAAAACAAGAACACAAGUAAUGUAUCUUUGGCUAUAAUUAUAAAAUAAAAAACUUGGACAUA